UUAAGCGACUAAGCGUACACGGUGGAUGCCCUGGCAGUCAGAGGCGAUGAAGGACGUGCUAAUCUGCGAUAAGCGUCGGUAAGGUGAUAUGAACCGUUAUAACCGGCGAUUUCCGAAUGGGGAAACCCAGUGUGUUUCGACACACUAUCAUUAACUGAAUCCAUAGGUUAAUGAGGCGAACCGGGGGAACUGAAACAUCUAAGUACCCCGAGGAAAAGAAAUCAACCGAGAUUCCCCCAGUAGCGGCGAGCGAACGGGGAGCAGCCCAGAGCCUGAAUCAGUGUGUGUGUUAGUGGAAGCGUCUGGAAAGGCGCGCGAUACAGGGUGACAGCCCCGUACACAAAAAUGCACAUGCUGUGAGCUCGAUGAGUAGGGCGGGACACGUGGUAUCCUGUCUGAAUAUGGGGGGACCAUCCUCCAAGGCUAAAUACUCCUGACUGACCGAUAGUGAACCAGUACCGUGAGGGAAAGGCGAAAAGAACCCCGGCGAGGGGAGUGAAAAAGAACCUGAAACCGUGUACGUACAAGCAGUGGGAGCACAGAGCAAUCUGUGUGACUGCGUACCUUUUGUAUAAUGGGUCAGCGACUUAUAUUCUGUAGCAAGGUUAACCGAAUAGGGGAGCCGAAGGGAAACCGAGUCUUAACUGGGCGUUAAGUUGCAGGGUAUAGACCCGAAACCCGGUGAUCUAGCCAUGGGCAGGUUGAAGGUUGGGUAACACUAACUGGAGGACCGAACCGACUAAUGUUGAAAAAUUAGCGGAUGACUUGUGGCUGGGGGUGAAAGGCCAAUCAAACCGGGAGAUAGCUGGUUCUCCCCGAAAGCUAUUUAGGUAGCGCCUCGUGAAUUCAUCUCCGGGGGUAGAGCACUGUUUCGGCAAGGGGGUCAUCCCGACUUACCAACCCGAUGCAAACUACGAAUACCGGAGAAUGUUAUCACGGGAGACACACGGCGGGUGCUAACGUCCGUCGUGAAGAGGGAAACAACCCAGACCGCCAGCUAAGGUCCCAAAGUCAUGGUUAAGUGGGAAACGAUGUGGGAAGGCCCAGACAGCCAGGAUGUUGGCUUAGAAGCAGCCAUCAUUUAAAGAAAGCGUAAUAGCUCACUGGUCGAGUCGGCCUGCGCGGAAGAUGUAACGGGGCUAAACCAUGCACCGAAGCUGCGGCAGCGACGCUGAUGCGUUGUUGGGUAGGGGAGCGUUCUGUAAGCCUGCGAAGGUGUGCUGUGAGGCAUGCUGGAGGUAUCAGAAGUGCGAAUGCUGACAUAAGUAACGAUAAAGCGGGUGAAAAGCCCGCUCGCCGGAAGACCAAGGGUUCCUGUCCAACGUUAAUCGGGGCAGGGUGAGUCGACCCCUAAGGCGAGGCCGAAAGGCGUAGUCGAUGGGAAACAGGUUAAUAUUCCUGUACUUGGUGUUACUGCGAAGGGGGGACGGAGAAGGCUAUGUUGGCCGGGCGACGGUUGUCCCGGUUUAAGCGUGUAGGCUGGUUUUCCAGGCAAAUCCGGAAAAUCAAGGCUGAGGCGUGAUGACGAGGCACUACGGUGCUGAAGCAACAAAUGCCCUGCUUCCAGGAAAAGCCUCUAAGCAUCAGGUAACAUCAAAUCGUACCCCAAACCGACACAGGUGGUCAGGUAGAGAAUACCAAGGCGCUUGAGAGAACUCGGGUGAAGGAACUAGGCAAAAUGGUGCCGUAACUUCGGGAGAAGGCACGCUGAUAUGUAGGUGAAGUCCCUCGCGGAUGGAGCUGAAAUCAGUCGAAGAUACCAGCUGGCUGCAACUGUUUAUUAAAAACACAGCACUGUGCAAACACGAAAGUGGACGUAUACGGUGUGACGCCUGCCCGGUGCCGGAAGGUUAAUUGAUGGGGUCAGCGCAAGCGAAGCUCUUGAUCGAAGCCCCGGUAAACGGCGGCCGUAACUAUAACGGUCCUAAGGUAGCGAAAUUCCUUGUCGGGUAAGUUCCGACCUGCACGAAUGGCGUAAUGAUGGCCAGGCUGUCUCCACCCGAGACUCAGUGAAAUUGAACUCGCUGUGAAGAUGCAGUGUACCCGCGGCAAGACGGAAAGACCCCGUGAACCUUUACUAUAGCUUGACACUGAACAUUGAGCCUUGAUGUGUAGGAUAGGUGGGAGGCUUUGAAGUGUGGACGCCAGUCUGCAUGGAGCCGACCUUGAAAUACCACCCUUUAAUGUUUGAUGUUCUAACGUGGACCCGUAAUCCGGGUUGCGGACAGUGUCUGGUGGGUAGUUUGACUGGGGCGGUCUCCUCCUAAAGAGUAACGGAGGAGCACGAAGGUUGGCUAAUCCUGGUCGGACAUCAGGAGGUUAGUGCAAUGGCAUAAGCCAGCUUGACUGCGAGCGUGACGGCGCGAGCAGGUGCGAAAGCAGGUCAUAGUGAUCCGGUGGUUCUGAAUGGAAGGGCCAUCGCUCAACGGAUAAAAGGUACUCCGGGGAUAACAGGCUGAUACCGCCCAAGAGUUCAUAUCGACGGCGGUGUUUGGCACCUCGAUGUCGGCUCAUCACAUCCUGGGGCUGAAGUAGGUCCCAAGGGUAUGGCUGUUCGCCAUUUAAAGUGGUACGCGAGCUGGGUUUAGAACGUCGUGAGACAGUUCGGUCCCUAUCUGCCGUGGGCGCUGGAGAAUUGAGGGGGGCUGCUCCUAGUACGAGAGGACCGGAGUGGACGCAUCACUGGUGUUCGGGUUGUCAUGCCAAUGGCACUGCCCGGUAGCUAAAUGCGGAAGAGAUAAGUGCUGAAAGCAUCUAAGCACGAAACUUGCCCCGAGAUGAGUUCUCCCUGACUCCUUGAGAGUCCUGAAGGAACGUUGAAGACGACGACGUUGAUAGGCCGGGUGUGUAAGCGCAGCGAUGCGUUGAGCUAACCGGUACUAAUGAACCGUGAGGCUUAACCUU
rnacentral:rRNA from 1 species